rnacentral:rRNA from 1 species
GAUGAACGCUGGCGGCGUGCUUAACACAUGCAAGUCGAACGGAAAGGCUCCUGCUUGCAGGGGUACUCGAGUGGCGAACGGGUGAGUAACACGUGGGUGAUCUGCCCUGCACUUCGGGAUAAGCCUGGGAAACUGGGUCUAAUACCGGAUAGGACGAUGGUUUGGAUGCCAUUGUGGAAAGUUUUUCGGUGUGGGAUGAGCUCGCGGCCUAUCAGCUUGUUGGUGGGGUAAUGGCCUACCAAGGCGUCGACGGGUAGCCGGCCUGAGAGGGUGUACGGCCACAUUGGGCCUGAGAUACGGCCCAGACCCCUACGGGGGGCAGCAGUGGGGAAUAUUGCACAAGGGGCGCAACCCUGAUGCAGCGACGCCGCGUGGGGGAUGACGGCCUUCGGGUUGUAAACUCCUUUCGCUAGGGACGAAGCGCAAGUGGCGGUACCUGGAGAAGAAGCCCCGGCUAACUCCGU